rnacentral:rRNA from 1 species
CUACGGGCGGCUCCAGUGAGGAAUAUUGCACAAUGGGGGGAACCCUGAUGCAGCAACGCCGCGUGGAGGAUGACGCAUUUCGGUGUGUAAACUCCUUUUAUAUGUCAAGAAAAUGACGGUAGCAUAUGAAUAAGCACCGGCUAACUCCGUGCCAGCAGCCGCGGUAAUACGGAGGGUGCAAGCGUUACUCGGAAUGCACUGGGCGUAAAGGACGCGUAGGCGGGUUGGAAAGUCAGGUGUGAAAUCCUACAGCUUAACUGUAGAACUGCACUUGAAACUUCUAAUCUAGAGUAUGGGAGGGGGAGAUGGAAUUAGUGGUGUAGGGGUAAAAUCCGUAGAUAUCACUAGGAAUACCUAAAGCGAAGGCGAUCUCCUGGAACAUUACUGACGCUAAGGCGUGAAAGCGUGGGGAGCAAACAGGAUUAGAUACCCCCGUAGUC